ensembl:misc_RNA Y_RNA Y RNA
GGCUGGUCUGAAGGUAAUGAGUUAUCUCAACUGAUGGUUCAUAGUUACAGAUCCAACUCUUUAUUCUACACUUUCCUCCUCCUCACUCCUGCACUUGACUAGUCAAAA